AUUACCGCGGCUGCUGGGGGGGCAACCCUGGCGGCGAGCGGCGAACGGGUGAGUAAUGCAUCGGAACAUGUCCGGUUGUGGGGGAUAACCUGGCGAAAGCCAGGCUAAUACCGCAUGAGCUCGAGAGAGGAAAGCGGGGGACCGUAAGGCCUCGCGCGACCGGGUUGGCCGAUGUCCGAUUAGCUAGUUGGUGGGGUAAAGGCUUACCAAGGCGAUGAUCGGUAGCUGGUUUGAGAGGAUGAUCAGCCACCCUGGGACUGAGACACGGCCCAGACUCCUACGGGAGGCAGCAGUGGGGAAUUUUGGACAAUGGGGGCAACCCUGAUCCAGCCAUUCCGCGUGAGUGAAGAAGGCCUUCGGGUUGUAAAGCUCUUUUGUCCGGAGCGAAACGGUCGUGGUGAAUAUCCGCGACUACUGACGGUACCGGAAGAAUAAGCACCGGCUAACUACGUGCCAGCAGCCGCGGUAAU
rnacentral:rRNA from 1 species